UACGUAGGGUCCGAGCGUUGUCCGGAAUUAUUGGGCGUAAAGGGCUCGUAGGCGGUUCGUCACGUCGGGAGUGAAAACUCGGGGCUUAACCCCGAGCCUGCUUCUGAUACGGGCAGACUAGAGGUAUGCAGGGGAGAACGGAAUUCCUGGUGUAGCGGUGAAAUGCGCAGAUAUCAGGAGGAACACCAGUGGCGAAGGCGGCUUCCUGGCCUGUUCUUGACGCUGAGGCGCGAAAGCUAGGGGAGCAAACGGG
rnacentral:rRNA from 1 species